UCAUUACUUCAUAGAUAAUUACUCGUGGACCUAAUAUAUAACUUCACUUUAACAGUCAUUCAAGUGAUAAGAGAGACACGUUAGAAUCCUAUAUAUAGUUGCAUAGAUAUGUGUACCUUUAUAUAUCACUGUAACAAUAAUUCACCUGAUAAAAGAAAUAAGACACGUCAUAACCCCACAAAUAUUUACGUAGAAGUUUGUCCCAAUAUUAUAUCACUUACCAAUUAUUCAUGUAAUAAGAGAGAUAGACACGUCAAAACCCUUAGUUGCAUCGAAGUUUGUCUCAUAGUUGCUAUAUGAUAUAGGACUCUUUCAAAAGUUAAGUUAGGGUUCUCGUGCAUUAAAAUUUGUAAUUUAGAUGGUUAUUCGACCCAAUAUAAUUUAGAGAUACUUACGUAAGAACCCGUAACACAGUUACAUUUACAGAAGCUUAUCUCAUAGUUGCUAUUGGACUCUUUCAAAUGUUGAAUUAGGGUUUUCAUGCAUUACACUUUGUACUAUAACAUGGUGAGCAUGGUUGUUAAUUAAAUAUGUUUGUCCAACUUAUGAAGAAAAUUGGUGACUUUGAAGUUGAACCGAGAAAAU
rnacentral:lncRNA from 1 species